ensembl:snoRNA small nucleolar RNA SNORA44
CUGCAUGUUAAACCAAGAGCUAUGGCUUAGCAAAUAGCCACAGGAUCUCCAACAACAUGCAAGAACAAAAUGGAAGAGACUUUGGCUUCUCAGGCUUUGUUAGCUGCAGAUGUCACUCGACUCUCCUACACAA